rnacentral:rRNA from 1 species
GUGGGGAAUUUUGGACAAUGGGCGCAAGCCUGAUCCAGCCAUGCCGCGUGCAGGAUGAAGGCCUUCGGGUUGUAAACUGCUUUUGUACGGAACGAAAAGACUCUGGUUAAUACCUGGGGUCCAUGACGGUACCGUAAGAAUAAGCACCGGCUAACUACGUGCCAGCAGCCGCGGUAAUACGUAGGGUGCGAGCGUUAAUCGGAAUUACUGGGCGUAAAGCGUGCGCAGGCGGUUAUGUAAGACAGAUGUGAAAUCCCCGGGCUUAACCUGGGAACUGCAUUUGUGACUGCAUAGCUAGAGUACGGCAGAGGGGGAUGGAAUUCCGCGUGUAGCAGUGAAAUGCGUAGAUAUGCGGAGGAACACCGAUGGCGAAGGCAAUCCCCUGGGCCUGUACUGACGCUCAUGCACGAAAGCGUGGGGAGCAAACAGGAUUAGAAACCCCAGUAGUCC